rnacentral:rRNA from 1 species
GAGUUUGAUCCUGGCUCAGGACGAACGCUGGCGGCGUGCCUAAUACAUGCAAGUCGAGCGAACCAAUUGAAAGCCUAGCUUUCAUGAGGUUAGCGGCGGACGGGUGAGUAACACGUGGGUAACCUGCCCUAUAGACUGGGAUAACUCGCGGAAACGCGUGCUAAUACCGGAUAACACAUCAGAGUGCAUGCUUUGGUGUUGAAAGAUGGUUCUGCUAUCACUAUAGGAUGGGCCCGCGGCGCAUUAGCUUGUUGGUGGGGUAACGGCCUACCAAGGCGACGAUGCGUAGCCGACCUGAGAGGGUGAUCGGCCACACUGGGACUGAGACACGGCCCAGACUCCUACGGGAGGCAGCAGUAGGGAAUCUUCCACAAUGGGCGAAAGCCUGAUGGAGCAACGCCGCGUGAGCGAAGAAGGUCUUCGGAUCGUAAAGCUCUGUUGUAAGGGAAGAACAAGUGCAGUAGUAACUGGCUGCACCUUGACGGUACCUUACUAGAAAGCCACGGCUAACUACGUGCCAGCAGCCGCGGUAAUACGUAGGUGGCAAGCGUUGUCCGGAAUUAUUGGGCGUAAAGCGCGCGCAGGCGGUCUCUUAAGUCUGAUGUGAAAGCCCCCGGCUUAACCGGGGAGGGUCAUUGGAAACUGGGAGACUUGAGUGCAGGAGAGGGAAGCGGAAUUCCAUGUGUAGCGGUGAAAUGCGUAGAGAUAUGGAGGAACACCAGUGGCGAAGGCGGCUUCCUGGCCUGUAACUGACGCUGAGGCGCGAAAGCGUGGGGAGCAAACAGGAUUAGAUACCCUGGUAGUCCACGCCGUAAACGAUGAGUGCUAAGUGUUANGGGGUUUCCACCCCUUAGUGCUGCAGCUAACGCAUAAAGCACUCCGCCUGGGGGAGUACGGUCGCAAGACUGAAA